rnacentral:rRNA from 1 species
CGAAAGUCUGAUGCAGCAACGCCGCGUGGAGGAUGACACAUUUCGGUGCGUAAACUCCUUUUAUAUGAGAAGAUAAUGACGGUAUCAUAUGAAUAAGCACCGGCUAACUCCGUGCCAGCAGCCGCGGUAAUACGGAGG